rfam:Brassica napus, WGS project CCCW01000000 data, contig: 31624
GGAAUAUAAAAAACCGGCUCUUAACUUUUAAUUAAAAAAGUUAAGACCCGGUUCUUAAAUAAGAUAUUUAAUAGCCGGUUCUUAGUUUUUUUAGUUAAACGUUAAGAGACGGUUUCUUAUAUUCC